GAGUUUGAUCGUGGCUCAGAUUGAACGCUGGCGGCAUGCCUUACACAUGCAAGUCGAACGGCAGCAUGAUCUAGCUUGCUAGAUUGAUGGCGAGUGGCGAACGGGUGAGUAAUACAUCGGAACGUGCCCUGUAGUGGGGGAUAACUAGUCGAAAGAUUAGCUAAUACCGCAUACGACCUGAGGGUGAAAGUGGGGGACCGCAAGGCCUCAUGCUAUAGGAGCGGCCGAUGUCUGAUUAGCUAGUUGGUGGGGUAAAGGCCCACCAAGGCGACGAUCAGUAGCUGGUCUGAGAGGACGAUCAGCCACACUGGGACUGAGACACGGCCCAGACUCCUACGGGAGGCAGCAGUGGGGAAUUUUGGACAAUGGGCGAAAGCCUGAUCCAGCAAUGCCGCGUGUGUGAAGAAGGCCUCGGUUGUAAGCACUUUGUCCGGUAAGAAUAGGCUCUGGUUAUACUGGGUCGAUGACGGUACCGGAACGAAGUAAGGACCGG
rnacentral:rRNA from 1 species